ACGGAAGGCAGCAGUGGGGAAUAUUGGGCAAUGGGCGAAAGCCUGACCCAGCGACGCCGCGUGAGGGAAGAAGGUCUUCGGAUUGUAAACCUUAGUCAACAGGGAAGAAGAAAGUGACGGUACCUGUGGAGGAAGCCACGGCUAACUACGUGCCAGCCGCCGCGGUAAUACGUAGGUGGCAAGCGUUAUCCGGAUUUACUGGGUGUAAAGGGUGUGUAGGCGGGAUUGCAAGUCAGAUGUGAAAACUAUGGGCUUAAGCCAUAGCCUGCAUUUGAAACUGGAGUUCUUGAGAGUGGGAGAGGUAAAUGGAAUUCCCGGUGUAGCGGUGAAAUGCUUAGAGAUCGGGAGGAACACCAGUGGCGAAGGCGAUUUACUGGACGACAACUGACGCUGAGACACGAAAGUGUGGGGAGCAAACAGGAUUAGAUACCCUGGUA
rnacentral:rRNA from 1 species